AUUGAACGCUGGCGGCAGGCCUAACACAUGCAAGUCGAGCGGAUGAAGGGAGCUUGCUCCUGGAUUCAGCGGCGGACGGGUGAGUAAUGCCUAGGAAUCUGCCUGGUAGUGGGGGAUAACGUCCGGAAACGGGCGCUAAUACCGCAUACGUCCUGAGGGAGAAAGUGGGGGAUCUUCGGACCUCACGCUAUCAGAUGAGCCUAGGUCGGAUUAGCUAGUUGGUGGGGUAAAGGCCUACCAAGGCGACGAUCCGUAACUGGUCUGAGAGGAUGAUCAGUCACACUGGAACUGAGACACGGUCCAGACUCCUACGGGAGGCAGCAGUGGGGAAUAUUGGACAAUGGGCGAAAGCCUGAUCCAGCCAUACCGCGUGUGUGAAGAAGGUCUUCGGAUUGUAAAGCACUUUAAGUUGGGAGGAAGGGCAGUAAGUUAAUACCCUGCUGUUUUGACGUUACCAACAGAAUAAGCACCGGCUAACUUCGUG
rnacentral:rRNA from 1 species